rnacentral:rRNA from 1 species
GAUGAACGCUGACAGAAUGCUUAACACAUGCAAGUCUACUUGAACUUCGGUUUGGGUGGCGGUCGGGUGAGUAACGCGUACAGAACUUGCCUCACAGUUAGGGACAACAUUUGGAAACGAAUGCUAAUACCUGAUAUUAUGAUUUUAGGGCAUCCUAAAAUUAUGAAAGCUAUAUGCGCUGUGAGAGAGCUUUGCGUCCCAUUAGCUAGUUGGAGAGGUAACGGCUCACCAAGGCGAUGAUGGGUAGCCGGCCUGAGAGGGUGAACGGCCACAAGGGGACUGAGACACGGCCCUUACUCCUACGGGAGGCAGCAGUGGGGAAUAUUGGACAAUGGACCAAAAGUCUGAUCCAGCAAUUCUGUGUGCACGAUGACGUUUUUCGGAAUGUAAAGUGCUUUCAGUUGGGAAGAAAAAAAUGACGGUACCAACAGAAGAAGUGACGGCUAAAUACGUG